AUGAACGCUAGCUACAGGCUUAACACAUGCAAGUCGAGGGGCAGCAUGGUCUUAGCUUGCUAAGGCCGAUGGCGACCGGCGCACGGGUGAGUAACACGUAUCCAACCUGCCGUCUACUCUUGGACAGCCUUCUGAAAGGAAGAUUAAUACAAGAUGGCAUCAUGAGUCCGCAUGUUCACAUGAUUAAAGGUAUUCCGGUAGACGAUGGGGAUGCGUUCCAUUAGAUAGUAGGCGGGGUAACGGCCCACCUAGUCUUCGAUGGAUAGGGGUUCUGAGAGGAAGGUCCCCCACAUUGGAACUGAGACACGGUCCAAACUCCUACGGGAGGCAGCAGUGAGGAAUAUUGGUCAAUGGGCGAGAGCCUGAACCAGCCAAGUAGCGUGAAGGAUGACUGCCCUAUGGGUUGUAAACUUCUUUUAUAAAGGAAUAAAGUCGGGUAUGGAUACCCGUUUGCAUGUACUUUAUGAAUAAGGAUCGGCUAACUCCGUGCCAGCAGCCGCGGUAAUACGGAGGAUCCGAGCGUUAUCCGGAUUUAUUGGGUUUAAAGGGAGCGUAGAUGGAUGUUUAAGUCAGUUGUGAAAGUUUGCGGCUCAACCGUAAAAUUGCAGUUGAUACUGGAUAUCUUGAGUGCAGUUGAGGCAGGCGGAAUUCGUGGUGUAGCGGUGAAAUGCUUAGAUAUCACGAAGAACUCCGAUUGCGAAGGCAGCCUGCUAAGCUGCAACUGACAUUGAGGCUCGAAAGUGUGGGUAUCAAACAGGAUUAGAUACCCUGGUAGUCCACACGGUAAACGAUGAAUACUCGCUGUUUGCGAUAUACGGCAAGCGGCCAAGCGAAAGCGUUAAGUAUUCCACCUGGGGAGUACGCCGGCAACGGUGAAACUCAAAGGAAUUGACGGGGGCCCGCACAAGCGGUGGAGCAUGUGGUUUAAUUCGAAGCAACGCGAAGAACCUUACCAGGUCUUGACAUCCUUUGACCACUCUAGAGAUAGAGCUUCCCCUUCGGGGGCAAAGUGACAGGUGGUGCAUGGUUGUCGUCAGCUCGUGCCGUGAGGUGUCGGCUUAAGUGCCAUAACGAGCGCAACCCUUGUUGUCAGUUACUAACAGGAUUUGCUGAGGACUCUGACAAGACUGCCAUCGUAAGAUGUGAGGAAGGUGGGGAUGACGUCAAAUCAGCACGGCCCUUACGUCCGGGGCUACACACGUGUUACAAUGGGGGGUACAGAGGGCCGCUACCACGCGAGUGGAUGCCAAUCCCCAAAACCUCUCUCAGUUCGGACUGGAGUCUGCAACCCGACUCCACGAAGCUGGAUUCGCUAGUAAUCGCGCAUCAGCCACGGCGCGGUGAAUACGUUCCCGGGCCUUGUACACACCGCCCGUCAAGCCAUGAAAGCCGGGGGUACCUGAAGUGCGUAACCGCGAGGAGCGCCCUAGGGUAAAACUGGUGACUGGGGCU
rnacentral:rRNA from 1 species